UACAGAGGGUGCGAGCGUUAAUCGGAAUUACUGGGCGUAAAGCGUGCGUAGAUGGUUAUGUAAGUCGGAUGUGAAAGCCCCGGGCUCAACCUGGGAAUUGCAUUCGAGACUGCAUAGCUAGGAUGCGGAAGAGGGAAGCGGAAUUUCCGGUGUAGCGGUGAAAUGCGUAGAUAUCGGGAGGAACACCAGUGGCGAAGGCGACUACCUGGCCUGUUCUUGACGCUGAGGCGCGAAAGCUAGGGGAGCAAACGGG
rnacentral:rRNA from 1 species